GUGAGGAAUUUUCCGCAUUGGGCGAAAGCCUGACGGAGCAAUGCCGCGUGAAGGAUGAAGGCCUAUGGGUUGUAAACUUCUUUUCUCAGAAAAGAAUUAUGACGGUAUCUGAGGAAUAAGCAUCGGCUAACUCUGUGCCAGCAGCCGCGGUAAGACAGAGGAUGCAAGCGUUAUCCGGAAUGAUUGGGCGUAAAGCGUCUGUAGGUUGUUUAAAAAGUAUUCUGUCAAAGAUUAGGGCUUAACCCUAGAUAGGCAGAAUAAACUUUUAAGCUAGAGUUUGGUAGAGGCAGAGGGAAUUCCCGGUGGAGCGGUGAAAUGCGUAGAUAUCGGGAGGAACACCAAAGGCGAAGGCACUCUGCUGGGCCAAUACUAACACUGAGAGACGAAAGCGAGGGGAGCAAAUGGGAUUAGAAACCCUGGUAGUCC
rnacentral:rRNA from 1 species